UUUCGAGACAGGGUUUCUCUGUGUAGCCUGGCUGUCCUGGAACUCACUCUGUAGACCAGGCUGGCCUCAAACUCAGAAAUCCGACUACCUCUGCCUCCCGAGUGCUGGGAUUAAAGGCGUGGGCCACCAACGCCCGGGCAGAGUUUUCUACUCUUAUAAAUACAGACAUUAGUAGCAGCAUAGAUUGAAGCACCUAGCAAAGAACGGACGUCUGUGGUAGCAAGUCUGUGUGUUCUUAGGCACCUCGCAUUAUCUUCUCAGCCCUGUUUUCCCUACUAUACAAUGGAGAUGAUUCUCAUAUUUAUCUGAUUGGGGGCAGGAUGAUGAAAUGAAAUGCCAUAUCAUACACAUGAAACAGUUAACAGCUAACCACACAGCAGAAUCAUUUGCUUAAUCAAAUGCCCAUUCAAAUAAGUCAACAGCGUCCCUGGUUGCAGGGCUACCACACAGACACCGCAGCAGCAAACCCAGAGUUUUCUCAGAUGUGGCGAUCCUUAGGCAGAGGAACCAGCAGCCCCCACAAACAGCUUCCUUUGGAAGGAGAGGAGAUCACGGCUAAAGCAGUACAGCAAUGGAGGAAAUACCUUGUUUUCUCAAGAAGAGGAGGACCGUGGACACUACAAUGAGGAACAACAGGAUGGAUCCCAGAAGCACCCAGUGAGUCCUGUUCUGUGGAGGAUGUGUUGCAGGCAGUUCUGGAAAAGGAUAAAGAGAAGCUGAUGGAAGGUAAGGCUUUGCUGCGCCAUAGUCAGGGGAAUGAUGACUCCUGAAAUAUAGUUUGGUCUUAGGGUAAUCUUAAUCACUGAAAGUUAAUGUCCAGGUAAGGGUUGGAAGAAGAAGACAGAUCUCCUAAGAAACUGGGAGCAGCACAGAGAAGAACUCCAGGCCUGUGACAUGUUGCCACAGAAAGUGACUGCAAUAUUAAAUGGUAACCUUAGUGCAGUAACUUCCUUGUGCACUCAUUAAUAUAGACAGUAAUGGCUGACUUGGUGUGGAAGGCCAACUCCCGAACAUGGGAAAGCGGGGCACUGCUAAGCCGCUUCUGUCUCCCACAAAUGUGGACCAGUGCGGGUUGUGUUUCUUCCAUGUCUGAGACUCUUGGGCACUCCAGUCAUUAACAUCUCCCUGUUUCUCUGCCUGGAGUUUUGAGAAAGAGAAAAAUGGGUCCCAGGGCUCUGGGAUGCUCUGAGAUUGCUAACUUCCAUCUCCUGUUGUAACUCAGCUCCUAUUUGGUCCCACUAUGAACCCAAGUUACAGAUGAGAAGAGACACUCAGAGUGGUUAAGUUACUCCAGGAUGUCCUACAAAGAAAUGGCCAGAGAACAGCUUUUUGCUGUUUUAUUAUGAUGAUGUUUGCUUGUUUUGUCUUUGAGGCAGGGUCUCUUGUAGUCAGUCCAUACUGGCCUUGAACUUGCUAUGAAGCUGAGGAUGACCUUGAACUGACCCUCCGGCUUCCACCACCAAAGUGUUUAGACUAUAGAGCUAUCUCUAGACAUCAAUGUACUGUUGACAUACAUUGGGAAAGGGGUGUCGAUGGAGGCAGAAGCAACCCUCCUCAGAGAGAGUUCUGCUUCACCUAGAAGACCAUGGUGAGCAGCUGAUGAGUGGAUUCGUCUGAAACUGACUAGACCUCCGCUGCCUCCGUCCCUAAGGUGAGCGUGUGUGUGAGGACGCAGGCAGGAAACACCAGAAUUGUGCACGCUUGCUCUAGGAUCUGUAAAAUCAGUCAUGCCUCAUAAACGGUGACGGCUGUCACUGAGUCUGAAUGUCUGACACAGGAAGAGGGGAGUCUAUUGAUUCAUAUUUGGGUUUCUAUGGAUGUUUCCAAUUCUCCUGUCUAUUUUUGUUUUGUUUUCCCUUUGAGGAAGAGUUGCAUGUAGACCAGGCUAGCCUUGAACUUGCUGUGUAGUCAAAGGUAACCUGCCUCUAGCUCCUGAGUGCUGGGGUCACAGGCAACUGAGUUGCCACCGCAUGUGGUUCUAUGCUGUGCCGGGGAUCGAACCAGAACUUCAUGAAUGGCAGGUAAGCACUCUACCAGAUGAAAUACAGACCCGUCCCUCUUGUCUAUCUUUAAUUGAAUUCACCAUCUUUAAAAAUAAGCACAUUACAAAGUCUUCUUAAAGAAACUCCAGAUCAAAGAUAAAGCUCACAAUUCAACACAAAGCAAAGGGAAAUGUAAGCAGUGACGUUACCAGUCAUUUUCGGACAUUAAAAACGAAGAUUGAAAGGAGUUACAGAGACAAAGUUUGGAGCUGAGACAAAAGGAUGGACCAUUUAGAGACUGCCAUAUCCAGGGA